rnacentral:lncRNA from 1 species
CGGGGCCGCCCUAAAUCCCCACCGCAGCCCCUGGCUCCCGACCUCCCGCUGCCCCGGCCGCGCUCGCCCGCCGGACUCCCUGCUUUCCUCCGAGGAGAUGGCAGGGGGGCGAGAAAAAAAAGACUACGAGGAAAUCUACUUCCCGGCGAGAGAGCUUUGAGUUCUGCAUUUCAACCUCAGGGCAACGUGGGCAGGGCCGGGCUGGGCCGGGAGCCGCAGCCCCCCGCUCCCGAGCCCGCCCCCGGGGGCGGCCCGGCGGCCCUGCAGCCCCGCCAGUGGCCGCGGGAGAUGACGGACAGCGCUGGGCCGGCGGCCCUUCCGCUGCCUCUCGCGGACGUGCUCAGCACCUGGUCCCUACCGCAACAGCAACGCCCGCCUAAUACCUGCCAGGCGGCUCCCAAAGACCCAGGUCCGACAAAGGGAGUAAAACGUGAGAAUGGAAAUGAUACGGUGAUGGCAGCGCACGGAAUAUCGGCGACUGAAAUACGGAUCUAACGUCUCUGAUUGCAGAGCCUUCACAUAACGCACAGUCAGAAAUAGGGACG